AGGUCUCUUUAAAGAAUUGUCAAAUUUAUUGUUCGCAUACUACUGCUUGGUGGACUACUUCUUCCACGGCCAUAACUCAGCAUCUUCAUUGGUUCUGAUUUGAGACCUAUAAACCGGAAAGGAAGGAGUAGGUAUUUGGGUCCUAAGAUGUGCACACGUUGUAUAAUAUCGGGUUUGAGGGCCUGACUGACAAGAGCAUGAUGUACGCUCUACCAGAGCUAUUCAUCCCCAUUGUCAGGCCUACAAGGCCGCGACCACAGUCACGCUUAUUGACAGUGGUAUUGGUAUUACCAAGUCAGAUAACGUUGGUACCAUUGCAAGGUCUGGCACAAAGAAUUUCAUGGAGGCCCUGGUUGCUGGUGCCAAUUUGUCCAUGAUUUUGAUGGAUGCCGCAAAUAGUCGUGCAGCCCGGUGACACUUACAAAUCGAGUAGGCCAGGCGACGGCGCUCCUAGAACCAUGACGCAACACCUCUGGAUCAUUGUUGCGGCCGACGGGCUUGGGCUUGUCAAGGGCGUGGUCCAGAACCAUGGCUUCGAGCUGUCCGCGAUCAAGUGCUCGUGGUGCUCGUGCAUUGGGAGGCCAUGUUCCACCGACGCCGGCCCUCCUGCUUGCUGUGACACAGUACAGGAUUCAAGGAUUUCAAUGGGGAGGAAUACACCAAGCAAACGGCACAACAAGGAACCAUCUGACCCAUUAUAGGUAACAGCUAGACCUGACAUGGAAAAUAAGCUUUGUGGUCUGGCCCUGAUGUAUUUACUGAUUAAUGUGUGUUUUACAGCAAGGCUGACUUUAUAUCUUGCUCUUCUUGAUUCUCAUCUACUUAAUCAUGCAGCUGUGUGGCUAAUUGCUUGGGACUUGUCCCCCUUGGGCUGGAAGUUUAGCCUAUCCGUUAUUCAUGAUGAUUGAUGUGGUUACCCGCAAAGUGGUCAGGAGGUGAAUGUGUUUUCCUUCUUGUAACUAUGAAACAUGUCAAUGGCAUCACUAUUUCGAACCUGACAGUAGUCCUUUGAAUCUCAAUCCAAAGCAGCAAUUUGGAUACAUGUGAAACUGAGCCCGAUUCAAGGAUUUCAAUGGGAAGGAAUACGCCAAGCAAGUGGCACAACAAGGAACCAUCUGACACAUCAUGGGCCAGGCCGCUACAGGAGAGAUGCAUCAAUGACCUGUGACUAUUCAGACUCACUUGAAGGACGGCGUGGUGAACUCCCAUUGUUGGUGAUGAAUGCCAGAUUUGAUUCAUCAGCUUACUGAGCCUGUCGUGUUGUUGGAUUAGUAGAGAAACGCUUGUUAGAGGAUUUUGACUUUAUCCAGUGCAUGAGUGAAUGAAAUUGAACAGUUUCAUUCUUGAUUUGGAGUGCAUGAAUGGAUCAUCCUGAUUUGCUUGAGUUGGCAAAUGUGCGGGCAUCGCAGACCAAAUAAAAUCUUCUAUGUUUGUGCCUUUUCUAUUGGCUUAUUAUGCAUUGCAUGGGUGUGUUGUGCAUAUAUGCAAGUGAGAUGGAUAUGGAGAUGGAGAAAUGGCCUGCAUGUAGGGUAACUAUGUCAAGUCAAUGAAUCAGCUAACAUUGUCAUCCGUUUAAUAUGCUCGUCAAGGCUAUGUCAUUUUCUUGAAGAUGUGUACAUGUCUGCAACCUCUUAUUUCUGCAUAUUAGUCCAACUGAUGCCGUUGACGAACUGAUACCCAAGCUGGAGUAUUUACUGUUCAACGUUCUGAUAAUCAUGAAUUCUUGAUGCCUCUUCUGGUCUAGAGCGCAACUAACUGGUGCAUGUUGGUUUCAGGGUCAAGAGUUGUGUGUCAGGCUCUUUUCAUCUAGGGGGUGCCCUGGUGGUCGCGUUUGCGGAAAUCAAGGGCCGGAUCUCAUCAUGCGGUUUACUCAUACUCACAUGCAGGAACUCCCAAGGGCCUGCCUGCCUCCACCUUGGUGGUCACUUGUUGGGUUGAAGUUUAUUGUUGUUUGACUACAAUCAACGGAAUGGUCAACGAGACGGCUGGUGGAACAUACUACUCAUUAUCCAAGUUUCGGAUGUAGAGGUCUGGGCUUGUUUUGUGUUCUUCAAGUGCUGCUAGCUCUUUCUUAGCUUGUGACUGAAGAAGGGCGGCCCCGAGGCCAUGACGAAAGGGAUUAGAUUCUUAUCGGUUUAGUUAGUUGACUUUGUUUUUCGGAAUUUUGAACAAUAAACAGAUGAUGAUAGAUGACAGGUGGUGCCGCGCUUUAUUUUUGUUGUUGCUUACAAGAUGCAUUGCAACAAUCAGCAGUGGUAUAAUUUGGAGUGUGCAUUGAUGUAUUC